GGGAUGCAGAUGUGAGGGCUGAACCUUAGAGAUAGGCUGCUGACUGCCAAACGAGGACAAUUGUUCAUGUUGCCUUUCAACUCAGGUGAUCAUUGGGUAUUGACGGUUAUUAACCUGGAACAAGCCAAUGCCUAUUUCAUGGAUCCCAUGAAACGAGGCUUACCUGCUCAAGAUCGGGUGAAAAUUGUGAACAAAUAAGUCUAGAAAUUAUUGAUUUUCCUUACAUUAUUCUGAGAUAGAGUUUAGCUUUAUCAUAUGGUUAUUAUUAUUGUUAUGGUCUAGUGCAAUUGGAAUGUAUUAUAUGGCAAAGACCGGGGAUAGCGAGCGUCAAAUCCAUUGAGAAGUUUUGAGUAGAAUUCCUCCACAACCUACUGGGACAUUACAGUGUGGUUACUUUGUCAUGCGAUACAUGAGAGACAUCAUUGAGUACAAAGACCUGUCAAUGUUUGCUAUUAAGAUACAUCACGUCUACAGGGAGCAUCUCGAAGGAAUGAUUUUUUUGAAGGACGUGUUUGUUAAAGGUCAUGAUGCAAUGCCAAUUAAAUAAACAUCAGUUUCCGAAAAUGUUUCACAUAAG